UACGGAGGGGGCUAGCGUUGUUCGGAAUUACUGGGCGUAAAGCGCACGUAGGCGGCGAUUUAAGUCAGAGGUGAAAGCCCGGGGCUCAACCCCGGAAUAGCCUUUGAGACUGGAUUGCUAGAAUCUUGGAGAGGUGAGUGGAAUUCCUAGUGUAGAGGUGAAAUUCGUAGAUAUUAGGAAGAACACCAGUGGCGAAGGCGGCUCACUGGCCCGGUACUGACGCUCAUGUGCGAAAGCGUGGGGAGCAAACAGG
rnacentral:rRNA from 1 species